GGAGCGCCGGGGCUGCGCCAGAGGCGGACGACGGCGGGGAGCUUACUGAGGAGUCGUAGUAGCCUGAGGUCAGCUGGACACGGACCUGGGCCAGGUCGUGUCGAGGCGGGGAGUCGCGGGGGAAUCGCCGGGGAAGGGCUGGAGCAGCCCGCAGCCGCUCCGGAGGCUCAGAGCGCCGAAGCGGCUACCGGCUCUGGCGGGAGAAAGACCGCUCCCAGCGUCACACCGCCCACAGCAGCGCGCACUGCAUGCCGGGAGAUGUAGUCCUUCGGCACGGCGCCGCCGACCGGGCGCUUUGUUCUCCGCGGCAUGCCGGGGGACGCGGCUUGCCGUCCUCCGACUGCCAGCCGGAGGUGUUCUUCCGCGCCGCCUGCUUGGAGGUGUCAUGGUCGUUGUUACUUGGAGGCAUUGACUAGGCACUUAUUUCCAGCACAGUACAGGCACCCAGGGGUCACCCUGCAUUCAAGGAACUGCGUAAAGAUAUGUGUGUCAACUGGCAGCAGAGGAAGGAAGCACCUGUUUGGAGUCCAAGGUGAUGAAGCAGAGUCUGUUGGAUUUUCAUUAUGAGGGGACCCCUCGUCGUGGGGGGUGGGGCUUGGACGUGUAAACAUGGCCCUGGAUGGGGGCACUGUCUAUUAAGUUCAAGGCAGUGAGGCCUAUCAUAGACACCACUGGACAAGCAUUAGAACCUGGUGCCCAGAUCGGACCGACCUGGCAGAACUAUCCUGCCAUCUGAAGUAAUGCAUACUUCUGUACCGAGUUUUUAAUAGCUUGGUCACCUUCAGCUUUUCCUCAUCGAGCUUGUAUUUUGGCAAGAAGUGGCUCUCAACAAGCAUUUGGGUCUGAGAGGUCUCCAUUAGAUUUUUGGUGCCAGUCUCCAUUGGAUUUUGUGACCAUCGAGUCAUAUUCAGCAUCUGUCUGCAGUGAGGUCUCCUGUAACUCCUAUGCAGUUGCGGCUUAAGACUUUUUAGCACCGUGUUAUCCAAUAAUAGCGUUCUGUAUGUGAGAGGCUUCUGGCAGCCCAGUCUUUUGUCCCAUUUAUGUUGGCACUCUCAUUCCAGAAUGCUGUCUACCAAGAGGUUCUCCUUGCUGCAGUUCAUGGAGUCAUUUAGGAGUUAUUUAUCCAUAAAGGAAAAGUCUGUCAUUACACCAGCCACAGAUGCUAGCUACCCAUACCUGUUUUGGCAUUUGCAGGCCUGAGUGUUUCAGCUCUGUCUGUCACCCCGCCUGUGAUAUUUGAGUCAUCUGGCGGUAACUCUCAUUUUUGUGUGUUGAUGAGUGGUUUGACUUAUUCUUGCAGUUUAAGUAAUAGGUCUAGGCUAAGCAGGAUGGAUGAGGAAGGUGCAACAGCAAAGGUGAGCAGAUGGUGCCAAGGGGGGUGCGGUCGACAGCUUGGGUUUUGUGCUUUUGGGGUCUCUCUGAGUUGCCUGAGUAUGUAAGUCGGUCAGUGGGAUUUGUUAGUCUGUUUUGCUUGGCAGGCUCUCUAUGUCAGAAACCUGUGUGCCUCUGCAUUUUCCCAAGGUGAGCCUGGCAUCAAAGGUUCUGUUUUCUGGGAUGUUGGAGAUGGACUGACGAUAUGAGCAGGUGCCUGACAUGGAUACUGACCCUAGAGGCAUGGCAUGGGAGGUGGGCAGAAAGGGUGCCACGGGUGAUGCCAGCUGCAACAUCUGGUGUUAGACUGGGAGUGGAGCAGGUGAGCAGAAUGCCACUGCGCUUCCAAAGAGGCCAUCAUUGCAGAAGAGGUCAGCGUUGACUGGUGUGAAACUGGCUGAUGGCACUCCAUUUGCGGGUGACGAAGAGGAACUGGGUGAUUGCUGCAACAUCCUAGUUACCCUAGUCAGUCUGCAUUGAGGAUGGAUUCUGACCCCCAGCCCCCUCAAAGCUAAAUUGAGCUAUCUUUGCAUGGGGUGGCAGGGAAGGGUUUUAAAUUCAGUGUAGCUGAGAGGGCGGUUCCGAGUAGGACAUGUUUGGGCAGAGAGAGGGUCCAGGUUCCUUUGCGCAAAAUGCAAGCGCCUGCUGGGCAGGGCAGUUCCAGCCCAUCUAUGUGGUGUUGUGUAGUUUGUGUAGCCUGUUUUAUGUGUCCUAUGCAAUACCUUACUUGGGUCUUGAUGUUCCUGGUGAUCUUCAUGCUUGGCAGGCACAUUGGCAGCCAUACAGACAGUCUCACAUGCCUUGACUCAUCAGCGUAAUGCUAACUGAGCUCUUCCUUUUUUGCGUUAGAAGUUUAACGCAUGGAUAUGUCUUGUGUGUCUUGCCCCCAGAAGUUUACAGAUGGUCAUCUUUCUUGUAGUGGUAUUCCAGGCAGUGUCAGCAUCUCCAUUCUCCAGCCAUCUGUUUUCACGGAGCCCUUUUCUGCGACUUCCUCCCUGUGUCCUUAUGUUCUUAGGUCUUAGAGACAGGCUUCUGGUGCAUCCAUCAUCCCAGUUGGGGCCAUAACUUUUCGUCAUGGACCAAGGCAUUUGACUUUCCCAAGGCCAUUGUAGAUUCUUCCUCAGGGCCCUUGUGCCGCAUAGAGCUGUGGAGGGGCGAAGCUGCAUGCUGACAAGCAGUCCAAGAAGAUGCUGUGCAGGCUGUCUUCAGAAUUGGAUGGGUAUUUGAGUACCACAAGUGGUGAUGGCUGCACUGUCUGACUCUGGAACUGUUGCGGAGCAGGUGGGGCUGGGGUGUGUGCAAAUGAAGAGGAACCUGUUGACUACAGGAACAUCCCAGUUAAUUGAUGAUGUUAUUUUUGUUGAGGAUGGAUUCAGACUGCUGGCCCUCUGAAAGCUAAGUUGAGGGACCAGGGCUGGGAGGAGGGUACAAGGUUGGGAAUUGCAGGGAGGGGUUUUAAAAUUAGUGUAGGAGAGAGGGCUGUGUGGAACAGUCCCCUUUAGGCAGACAAAGGGAGCGGCUUACUCCUCACCACAACACUAGCGUGUGCUGGGCAGGGCAGUUCCAGCCUGUGUCUGUUUUGUGUAGUCUGUCUUCUGUGUCUUAGACCUUCCUUGUCUUAGACCUUCUGUCUCUUCUUGCCCCAUCGUGUCCACCUCCCCCCCUGCGAGUUUUUACCCCUGCACAUGCCCCCCAUAAUCCCUGCCUGCCUAUCUUGUGUCACCCCUCCUCCCACUCCCCCCAUAUUCUGCACAGCCCCCCCACCUACGCCCUUUGCCUCUGGAUCCCUGGGGUGCUGCCUUUGCCCCCCAAUCCCCCCAUUGCCCCCUACCCAAACUCUGACAACCCCACUUUCCCUCCUCCUGUGCUUUGGAUUUGUGCUGAAAACAGUGUUGGUAACAGGGAUGUGUUAGUUAUUGCCAAGGGAUUUUCCAGACCAUAUGAUGACAUGCUCAGCAAUAAAACUGGAGGGGGGAGAUGAGUGCGGUUGGGGGUGUGCUGCUCAGGGACUAGUUUGGCUAUCAGUUGGUCGGUGGUGAGCGAUUGUUUUCAUUUGCAUCACUUGUUCUUCUUGGCUUUUAUUUUUCUCUCUGUUAUUUCCGCCCCCCUCUUUUCUUUACAUGUUGCUAUUGUUUCUUUUUAGUUAUUAAACUGUUUUUAUCUCAA